AGAGCUACAUUUCACCUCUGUUUCCCAUUUUUGGGACUGAAGAGACUCCAACAUGCAAUUAAUAAGCACCUUGGUGGCACAGACGAGUUGAAUCCUAAAGAGCUCCAGGAGGACAUUUGCAGACACCUUGCCAAAGAGAAUGCAGAACUGCUGGAGAACUUAUACAAAAACACCAUCAUGUACUUCCAUAGCAUCUGGGAAGGGAUCUGGGCAGUUGCUGCCAAGUUAGCUGACAUCAUCCUGAAACACACAGACAUGCAGCGUAUGAAAUGGCUGGACCUGGAAUAUCUGCUGAUGUCUCUCCAGGUCUUAGAGAAAGAUCCAAGUCCCACUGUCCAGCUGGUGGCAACUGAGAUCAUAAGUAACAUCUGUUCUGGUCGAGUGCUUGAGGAAUGAAGCGGAACGGAGACAAACAGAACAAGGCGCUCCAGUAGUAUAAGGGCCCUACCAUUAAUCAUAUGUUAACCCCACCCCUUGACCCAAUAAGCCCUGCCCACUGGUCAUCGGAAGACCCAGCCCAUGGGGUAUUACUUCUGGGGCCAAGGCGGACACAUGACCAGAAGCAAUAUGUGUCAUGUGACCCCUCUAAGAACUCCUCCCACUGUCCUCUACCAAUCAGGAUGGGUUUCGCCCCAAUAGGAAUGUCCCGAGAGACGAUCUGACCAAUCAGGUGGAGUUCCGGGGCAGGUGACCUGUCCGGAAGUGAUUUGUGUGACUCCUCUAAGAACUCCUCUCACCAUCGUCUACUGAUCAGGAGGGGUUUCAGCCACUGGGGAUCACCCCAAGAGAAGAUUUGACCAACUGGGGGGAAUUCUGGGGUGGGGUGACCCGUCCGGAAGUGCUUCAUGUGACCCCUCUAAGAACUCCUCCCACCACCCUUUACCAGUUGUGAUGGGUUUCAGCUGCAUAGGACUGCCCCAAGAGGAGACUUGACCAAAAUAGGGUAGGUUCUCUUAAGGGGUGAACCGCCCAGAAGAGGGUCGUGUGACCCCUCUAAGAACUCUUUCCAAUGUCCUCUGCCAGUCAGAGCGCAGCACCAUCACCCCAUAAAUCCCAGCGCUGGGCAGAGGAGGCCAUCUCUUACCAAGAAGACGUGUUUUAUGAAUUGUGGAAAGGCUGAGAGGAGACAUGGACUCCUUUACCACCCCCCUGAGAACUUCGGACUUUGUUUUAGCCCUGAGGACCUUUGGGCUUGUAUGGAUAAAGCACUAUAGCAGUAACAGUUCCGAGGAGGGCCCUUUGACUCUACCAUUGAUAGAUACCUCAGAACCCGACCCCAAACCCUCGUGACAGGGCCAGCUCCAGAUACCAGCCCACCAGGCACAUGCUUGGGGCGGCACCUCGGGACGGGGCGGCACUCAGGCGCGACGAUGCCUUUCAAGAGGCCUUUGAGAACUUACACAUCGGUAGCCCUGUCGUUCAUCAGCUGUUUUUGCUCCUGUUUGAGACGCAGAUCUCAAGAGGAAAAUCCGGAAAAGGACAAAAUAGAAAAAUGAACCAGCUCAGAGUCCCUCAUUGUAGGGGUCAUGGUGUCCAUUUUUACAGAUGGCUGUCAAAGGUUGUGUUAAACCAGGCAAUUAAUUAAACUUAUUUAAAUGUGUC